rnacentral:lncRNA from 1 species
AGUGUAUUAAAGAAGCAAACACAGUGGAGGGCCAGCCAGCAUAGCUAUGGUAGCUCCAGAACAAAAAGCCCAGAGGAAAUCAGAGCCUCUUUGUGAACAGCUUCCGUCUCUAGUAUAUUGAAGGAAAGUGACUGACAUGCUGUGGACAUCCCACCUGGGCUUACCUGAGCCGUUUUUCAGAUAUCCAUUUGCAUCUACUGUUGUGUACAUGAUAUAAGGUCCAGGCUGAUUUACUCCAAAAGGCUGCAGGAAGAAAGGAAAUAGUUGGCCUUGAGAAGUUCUACUGAUGACAAAUCAAGAAUUUUUCAAGCACUUGUUAAUCACAGACUUGCUGGGAAUUCAGCAACAGCAUCUAGUCCAAGAGAUGCAGCUUCUUCAUUAAUCUAUUUUUAAAGUUUAAACCUACUGUUGAAUUUGUAUAUCCCUUAGCUUCUAGAAAUGCAUUGGUAUUGGCAGAGGAUGUAGUGAUGCAUCAUUUAGGCCUACAUUUUAGGACUAAAUACAUCCUGGAUUGUCCCAAGUGUUGACCAUUGCUAGUUCACAGCUGGAUCCUAAUUGGCAGCUCUUCUCAGCUAAAAAAAAGUUGUGUCCCAUGUCUAAGUGCAAUAUCUGAGUAAUUUAGGCAUAGAGAAGCCCUGGCCCCUCUGCCUCAGUUGAGGGUGUGAUGAGAAUCACUCAGCUUUAGGGCUCUCCAUGCACUGUAAACCAACCUCUCUCUUCUUGCCAACCCUGCUUUCCUCACUACUUCAGAGUCAUUGUUCCCAAGUAGAGUCAGGAUGUCUCAACUAUAGGAAGUUUCUCAACUAUAUAUAAAAGUAUUGGCAUUGUAGUGCUUCAACUGGAUUAAAAGGAUUUGUGACUAUAA